UGAUUCCUAAUAUUUUCACAAUUCCUGGGGCUACUCCCAGUGUUAUGCCCUUUCCUAGUGCUAGUUCCAUCUCUAAGGUCUGGGGAUCGCCGCCUCAGGUUCCGGUGCUGAUCGAUUUUCGGCCUGCCACUAAUAUCCAGAUCCAUGACCAGACUCCACUAUGACCUGCAAACAUAUCCUGUGCAUCUGCUCCUGAAGAGUAGCGCUACAGCUACGAAACGCGUCGAGCUAAAUAGAUGCUUUUCCCUGCCAAUUUUUCAUCUUCAUCACCAUUACCAUGGUUUACUGGAACCUGCCAAUCUACAAUGCAUAAUGGAAAUAUGUUGCAAACUAGUCUGAUGUGGUUUUUAUGUUAUGAUUGUGGCUCUAGGCCAGCAGGCCAUCUUUGUGUCAUCAUGCUAUUCUGUUCUUUAUUAUGUACCAUGUUAUGGAAUAAAUGGUUUUAUUACCUUA